UACCAUUCAUCCUAUGUGCUUGCGCAACAGAAAAUUGAAAUAAUACAAAUCCGAAAACAACAUUUUAUUCAUCUUCUUCAUUUUACAACAAUAUUUCUACCACAAUUCAUUUUAUCUACUAAUUACAAAAUUCUUAACCGUUCUAAAAAAUAGUGAGAUAUUAGUAAUGGGACCGAAUGAGAAACUCUUAGACCAUCUUUAUCGGGUCCCAGGAGAAGAACGGGUCGACCACCCAGAAUUGAAAAAAGAAAAAGAAAAAGGAAAAUUGAAAUGGUUUAAUGUUGAGAUGUUCGACCACCUCCAAAUUGAGACCGUAUG
rnacentral:lncRNA from 1 species